GGCUUGCGUUUGGUAUGUCAAACAAAGGAUUUCUUGGUCUAACAACCAGGAAAAUGAUCAAAGUUGCAAUUCCAAGGAAGAUGAGGAGAAGACUAAAAAGUAGACACAGGAAUGCAAAACACCAUAUAAUUGGAUUGGUUUGUCGUGGCCGAGCUUGCUGUAGUAAUUGUGGUUUUCUGUACUUGCUUGAGUCUGUAUGAUUUGUAUUGAGCAGUGGAGUAUGU
rnacentral:misc_RNA from 1 species